rnacentral:rRNA from 1 species
GGCGAACGCUGGCGGCGUGCCUAAUACAUGCAAGUUGAGCGCUGAAGGUUGGUACUUGUACCAACUGGAUGAGCAGCGAACGGGUGAGUAACGCGUGGGGAAUCUGCCUUUGAGCGGGGGACAACAUUUGGAAACGAAUGCUAAUACCGCAUAAAAACUUUAAACACAAGUUUUAAGUUUGAAAGAUGCAAUUGCAUCACUCAAAGAUGAUCCCGCGUUGUAUUAGCUAGUUGGUGAGGUAAAGGCUCACCAAGGCGAUGAUACAUAGCCGACCUGAGAGGGUGAUCGGCCACAUUGGGACUGAGACACGGCCCAAACUCCUACGGGAGGCAGCAGUAGGGAAUCUUCGGCAAUGGACGAAAGUCUGACCGAGCAACGCCGCGUGAGUGAAGAAGGUUUUCGGAUCGUAAAACUCUGUUGGUAGAGAAGAACGUUGGUGAGAGUGGAAAGCUCAUCAAGUGACGGUAACUACCCAGAAAGGGGCGGCUAACUACGCG